GACGAACGCUGGCGGCGUGCUUAACACAUGCAAGUCGAACGGAAAGGCCCUGCUUUUGUGGGGUGCUCGAGUGGCGAACGGGUGAGUAACACGUGAGUAACCUGCCCUUGACUUUGGGAUAACUUCAGGAAACUGGGGCUAAUACCGGAUAGGAGCUCCUGCUGCAUGGUGGGGGUUGGAAAGUUUCGGCGUUUGGGGAUGGACUCGCGGCUUAUCAGCUUGUUGGUGUGGUGGUGGCUUACCAAGGCUUUGACGGGUAGCCGGCCUGGGAGGGUGACCGGCCACAUUGGGACUGAGAUACGGCACAGACUCCUACGGGAGGCAGCAGUGGGGAAUAUUGCACAAUGGGCGGAAGCCUGAUGCAGCAACGCCGCGUGCGGGAUGACGGCCUUCGGGUUGUAAACCGCUUUCGCCUGUGACGAAGCGUGAGUGACGGUAAUGGGUAAAGAAGCCCCGGCUAACUACGUG
rnacentral:rRNA from 1 species